rnacentral:rRNA from 1 species
CCUACGGGAGGCAGCAGUCGAGAAUCAUUCACAAUGGGGGAAACCCUGAUGGUGCGACGCCGCGUGGGGGAAUGAAGGUCUUCGGAUUGUAAACCCCUGUCAUGUGGGAGCAAAUUAAAAAGAUAGUACCACAAGAGGAAGAGACGGCUAACUCUGUGCCAGCAGCCGCGGUAAUACAGAGGUCUCAAGCGUUGUUCGGAAUCACUGGGCGUAAGGCGUGCGUAGGCUGUUUCGUAAGUCGUGUGUGAAAGGCGCGGGCUCAACCCGCGGACGGCACAUGAUACUGCGAGACUAGAGUAAUGGAGGGGGAACCGGAAUUCUCGGGGUAGCAGUGAAAUGCGUAGAUAUCGAGAGGAACACUCGUGGCGAAGGCGGGUUCCUGGACAUUAACUGACGCUGAGGCACGAAGGCCAGGGGAGCGAAAGGGAUUAGAUACCCGAGUAGUC